GUCAACACAGAGUGGCAACAGAGAGGGCUGCUGGGGGCUGCUGGAGCCUUGAGCUGAACACAUCCCAGGGUUGGGGAAAACAGCCAGAAAAAUCUGUGGGUGUUAAAGCCCCAACCCGUGAAGAUCCCACAACCUCCCAGAACAGCGCCACCAUCUGGGAGCAAGUGUUCAAACACCUGAGCUGCGGAGACACUUAGAAUUCAAAUCACGGCAGUUGGGAGGCAAAUGACGGUACCAGAUGGGAACAAUGGACAUAGACGUCUAGUGAUCAACAGCUCUGGAAGUGAGAGGUGUGUGGGUAAAUAACAAUGACAUUCUCAUGAUUUAAACCGCUUUUAAAGAUAA